AGCUAGGGGUGCCGUUAGGCUGAGAAAGAGCAAUCUUAACCCUUUGAACCUGAAGCAGUUCAUACUGCCGUAGGAAAGCGAAGAUAAA
rnacentral:ncRNA from 1 species